UGCAGCAGCUCCUGUUUCCCCUGAGCCGAUCCCCAGGCCAAACUCCCCAUGGUCUCCUCCCCAAGGCCCCGCACCUCCAGGGGACCGCUACAUCUCCCUGGAGGGGUGCAAGCACUGGACAGCACGGUGCUGCGCAGGACCUAGCACCAGCUCAGCCCUGCACACUGGGAAAAGGGAUAGCACUGCCCAGUACCUCAGUUUCCACAUCUGUAGAGAGGAGAAUAAACUGCUUAAUGUGACAGUUCACAGGAUUAGUGAUGACGGAGACCUGGAGCAACGGCUGGGCCUGGCUGCUUGAGUUUCAGCAUCAAGCCACCAUGCAUCGGCUGGGUGACUGGGCAGCCAACAAGUCAACCAGACCAAGCUGCUCAGCAGAUGAGAUGACAUGUGAAACUGCGAAUCUUGCAAAAAAUAUGAGACUUCAUGAAGUUGAUAGAAGCAAAUGCCAGAGAAACGUUCACCAGCUGAUGACCACAAAGACAAAGAACAUUUAUAAAGGAAGUGACGGGGACUUCCAAAAUGAAGUGAUCGGUUAUCAAAGGAUUCAGAGAGAUCUUUGGGUUUGCGGAAGCCUUCAAACACUUUAAAAAAAAAAAAAUAGAGAUGCUGCAAAACCUACUCAAAAGGGAAGGAUGCUAUAUACUCAAUUUUGUCAGUAAAAUAAAGCCUUCGAAUAUUAGCAUUUAAUUCA